GAAUUUCAAGACCCUGACAGCAGAGC
rnacentral:piRNA from 1 species